rnacentral:rRNA from 1 species
UACGAAGGGAGCUAGCGUUGUUCGGAAUCACUGGGCGUAAAGCGCACGUAGGCGGAUUUGUCAGUCAGGGGUGAAAUCCCGGGGCUCAACCUCGGAACUGCCUUUGAUACAGCAAGUCUUGAGUUCGAGAGAGGUGGGUGGAAUUCCUAGUGUAGAGGUGAAAUUCGUAGAUAUUCGCAAGAACACCAGUGGCGAAGGCGGCUCACUGGUCCGGUACUGACGCUGAGGUGCGAAAGCGUGGGGAGCAAACAGG